UCGCUUGCACAUUUGGCCUGGGUGACAUCACUUGCACAGUUGGCCUGGGUGACAUCGCUUGCACAGUUGGCCUGGAUGACAUCGCUUGCACAGUUGGCCUGGGUGACAUCGCUUGCACAGUUGGCCUGGGUGACAUCACUUGCACAGUUGGCCUGGGAGACAUCUCUUGCACAGUUGGUCUGGGUGACAUCACUUGCUGGUUAGCCUGGGAGACAUUGCUUGCACAGUUGGCCUGGAUGACAUCGCUUGCACAGUUGGCCUGGGAGACAUCUCUUGCACAGUUGGUCUGGGUGACAUCACUUGCUGGUUAGCCUGGGAGACAUCGCUUGCACAGUUGGCCUGGAUGACAUCGCUUGCACAGUUGGCCUGGGUGACAGAAUGCUCCUCACUCAUUGGCCUGUCCUCAAGGACACUGACGACUCACUGACGAGUGCGCUUCAUCAUUCACUCUUCUCUUAUCUGAGAAGAGGCUGUAACAGGAGCGGUGCUGCAGGGAUGUUUGGGAUGUUUGGGCCGCAUCAGGAAAGGCAGUGCUAGAAAAAAAAACCCAGCAGCUUUAAAUAACCACAAAGUUCAGGGAGCCCAGUGCAUUAUUUCAGUAUCGUCCUUUUGUGUGUGGCUUUCUGUGUCAUGUAUUUUUGAAAGUUACCCAGUGUUACCCUGCAGCUGCUCGGGGCUGCAGUAAAUAUGACAGCUGACACCUGGGAAGGGGCAGGCUGAGGGACCACGGAGAGCAGGUGAGUUGCUUUUCUCUGAGUCUACCCUCUCCACACUGUGUGAGGGUAGGGGUGGGGAUAUGCAAAAAUAACCUCAGAGAGAUUGGAGGGGACUGCUAACCUCAGUGCAGAGGCCCUGUAUUUCUGAUGCAUUAACAAGCGGAAGACAACUCCACCUUCCAUGCCCUCUUUGUCCUCAUUUCCCAUCCAUCCCUUUCCAAGAGGACUCCAGAGCUGAGUGCAAGCCUCGGGCGGCUGAAUCACAGCAGGCUGAAGCCAGAGACCAUUCUGGUCCUGCCUAUGAAAUUGCUUGGUUAGAAUUCAGCCAUCUCUGCUAUGUCUGAGGCAUGCUCUGAACACACACUAACAGGCA
rnacentral:lncRNA from 1 species